rnacentral:rRNA from 1 species
AGCAGCCGCGGUAAUUCCAGCUCCAAGAGCAUAUAUUAAAGUUGUUGCAGUUAAAAAGCUCGUAGUUGGAUUUCUGGUAUAAUGUACCUGGCCCGCGCCCGUCAGGGUUGUGAGUGCCGGCGCGCGUUUACCAUCCUUCUAGAAAACAGGCCUGUCAUUAACUUGGUGGGUUUGCGAUCUAGAUCUUUUACUUUGAAAAAAU